rnacentral:rRNA from 1 species
UACGUAGGAGACGAGCGUUGUCCGGAGUUACUGGGCGUAAAGGGUGCGCAGGUGGCGGCGCGCGUGGGGGGUGAAAUCGCCCGGCUUAACUGGGCGGGGGCCUUCCAGACGGCGUGGCUUGAGCAGCGGAGGGGGACGUGGAAUUCCGGGUGGAGCGGUGAAAUGCAUUGAGAUCGGAAAGAACACCAACGGCGAAAGCACUCUGCUGGGCCGACACUUACACUGAGAGACGAAAGCUAGGGGAGCAAAUGGG